rnacentral:rRNA from 1 species
GACGUAGGGGGCGAGCGUUGUCCGGAUUCAUUGGGCGUAAAGCGCGCGCAGGCGGCCCGGUAAGUCGGAUGUGAAAUCCCACGGCUCAACCGUGGAACUGCAUUCGAUACUGUCGGGCUAGAGGCAGGUAGGGGAGAUCGGAAUUCCUGGUGUAGCGGUGAAAUGCGCAGAUAUCAGGAGGAACACCGGUGGCGAAGGCGGAUCUCUGGGCCUGUCCUGACGCUCAGGCGCGAAAGCCAGGGGAGCAAACGGG